UAUUGACUGGGUGUGAGGGUAAUAGCAAGUUUGUUGUCCAAAAGCCGCGCAAUAGUUGGUAUGCAAAGGGACAACAAACUUGCUUUUACCCGCACAACCAGCCAUUA
rnacentral:sRNA from 1 species